CUGGUGCUGGUGGCAAUCGAACAUACGAGUCCUAUGCCAACGCCAAUCAAAUUACAGUGGACCCCAAAGCAGAUUCGGCGCUAAAAGAUUGCCAGUGAAAAUGCGAAACAGGCUGCAGACUGCCGCAACGUUGCCGAUUAAAUUGGGAACUAAAACAGAUACCUGUUUAAUACCCUAUUCCUAAGGGCAUACCAUUGCCGCACCCAUCAACAUUUGCACUCAAAAUCCAACUGUAAAAAUGUUCUUUGCUAUUCCAGAGUGGAACCGAAUGUCAAACGUCCCGUAAAGCCAAGCGAAGCAAUCAAGCGAGAGCACACAAGCCCAAAGGAGAGAUGAAUGAGUGUUCAGCCAGGGAUAGGACUAUCUGUCAGUGGUAGCGACUAUCUAUCGACCGAGUCACACCUUUUGGCCAGUCCGUAGCUUGUCAUAAAAUUGUGAAACGCUACGGUCCCCUUGCACCGCCUGAGGCAUGCUGCUUAAAAGCUCAGCAAAAGGGUCUCGUCUAAUGGAAGCUGCUCCCAACGGAGCACCUGUCCGGGCUCUGUUUGAGGGAUUACUUUGGACUUGUGACCGGAGCUUUUGAUAGUUUGUUUUCCUGCGUAAUUUGCAAUGGAGAAAGCAUCCGAUUCGAAUGAAUGCUAAUUGCCUGAAUCUAAAGUGGAAACUCAAGUGUCAUAAUUGCUAUGAAUUUAAUUUACUGGAAACGAAACCGAAACUGAAAGUUUCUCAAACUGAAAACUUCAACCAAAAACCCUUGGUCAACUUGCAGGCGAAGCGUUUCUUGAUAUGUUUUGCAAAUGUAAUUUGCUACGACUUAAGAUGCAGUUUACCCGCCCAGACCCAGGCCCAGGCCUAUGCGGAAAAGUGCGGGUGAAAGGAACUUGUAACUCGCAACAAAAACUACAACAAGGACAACCACUUCAAGUGUCUGGCUGUGGCUGUGGCUCUGGCGAAAAUUGCCAUAAAAAACUUUGGCCGUCUCAAUGGCAAAAGUCGUCAACAUUCACCGUCAUCAUCGUCGUCGUCGUUGGCGUUGGUGUUGGCCUCGUUCUCCUCCUUAAUGGCACAGACGCCUCACAGACUGUGGUGCUCUGCUGGUCUGGUCUGGUCUGGUCUUGGAUUUAAGGUGUUGACGUUUCCCCCGUUAGCCUGCGCCACAAUUUGUCAUAUUUUAACAGCGCCUUUCUCUGCGCUUCUCAUAAGUUGUACGUAAGCAGGGGUGACACUUGGAAAUAUUUAACAGUAGAGAGUGAAGCGGUCACUAAAUGUCAAUUAAAUCGUGUGUCUUCGUGUCGUGAGCGCGCGCCAAAUGCAACAUUCUUUCUCUGUGAUCACCUACCCAUAUGCUCUC